rnacentral:rRNA from 1 species
UAGAGUUUGAUCAUGGCUCAGGAUGAACGCUAGCGGCAGGCUUAACACAUGCAAGUCGAAGGGCAUCGCGGGGAGUGCUUGCACUCCCUGGCGGCGACUGGCGCACGGGUGAGUAACACGUAUGCAACCUGCCCUCCACAGGGGGACAACCUUCCGAAAGGGAGGCUAAUCCCGCGUAAAUCUCGAUGGGGCAUCCCAUUGAGAGGAAAGCUUCGGCGGUGGAGGAUGGGCAUGCGGCGCAUUAGCUAGUCGGCGGGGUAACGGCCCACCGAGGCGACGAUGCGUAGGGGUUCUGAGAGGAAGGUCCCCCACACUGGUACUGAGACACGGACCAGACUCCUACGGGAGGCAGCAGUGAGGAAUAUUGGUCAAUGGGCGGGAGCCUGAACCAGCCAAGUCGCGUGAGGGAUGACGGUCCUACGGAUUGUAAACCUCUUUUGCCGGGGAGCAAGCGUGCGUUCGUGAACGCGCGUCGAGAGUACCCGGAGAAAAAGCAUCGGCUAACUCCGUGCCAGCAGCCGCGGUAAUACGGAGGAUGCGAGCGUUAUCCGGAUUUAUUGGGUUUAAAGGGUGCGUAGGCGGGAUGCCAAGUCAGCGGUAAAAAAGCGGUGCUCAACGCCGUCGAGCCGUUGAAACUGGCGUUCUUGAGUGGGCGAGAAGUAUGCGGAAUGCGUGGUGUAGCGGUGAAAUGCAUAGAUAUCACGCAGAACUCCGAUUGCGAAGGCAGCAUACCGGCGCCCUACUGACGCUGAGGCACGAAAGUGUGGGUAUCGAACAGGAUUAGAUACCCUGGUAGUCCACACAGUAAACGAUGAAUACUAAUUGUUCGGGGAGAAUGAUCCCUGAGUGAUACAGCGAAAGCGUUAAGUAUUCCACCUGGGGAGUACGCCGGCAACGGUGAAACUCAAAGGAAUUGACGGGGGCCCGCACAAGCGGAGGAACAUGUGGUUUAAUUCGAUGAUACGCGAGGAACCUUACCCGGGCUCAAACGACACAGGAAUACUUUUGAAAGGAGGUAGCUCUACGGAGUCUGUGUCGAGGUGCUGCAUGGUUGUCGUCAGCUCGUGCCGUGAGGUGUCGGCUUAAGUGCCAUAACGAGCGCAACCCCCAUCGCCAGUUACCAGCAAGUCAAGUUGGGGACUCUGGCGAGACUGCCGGCGCAAGCUGUGAGGAAGGCGGGGAUGACGUCAAAUCAGCACGGCCCUUACGUCCGGGGCGACACACGUGUUACAAUGGCAGGUACAGAGAGAAGCAAUGCGGCGACGCAAAGCGGAACUUGAAAGCCUGUCUCAGUUCGGAUUGGAGUCUGCAACUCGACUCCAUGAAGCUGGAUUCGCUAGUAAUCGCGCAUCAGCCAUGGCGCGGUGAAUACGUUCCCGGGCCUUGUACACACCGCCCGUCAAGCCAUGGAAGCCGGGAGUGCCUGAAGUGAGCAACCGCAAGGAGCGCCCUAAGGUAAAACUGGUGACUGGGGCUAAGUCGUAACAAGGUAGCCGUAA